GACGGUACCUAACCAGAAAGCCACGGCUAACUACGUGCCAGCAGCCGCGGUAAUACGUAGGUGGCAAGCGUUGUCCGGAAUUAUUGGGCGUAAAGGGCUCGCAGGCGGUUUCUUAAGUCUGAUGUGGAAGCCCCCGGCUCAACCGGGGAGGGUCAUUUGGAAACUGGGAAACUUGAGUGCAGAAAAGGAGAGUGGAAUUCCACGUGUAGCGGUGAAAUGCGUAGAGAUGUGGAGGAACACCAGUGGCGAAGGCGACUCUCUGGUCUGUAACUGACGCUGAGGAGCGAAAGCGUGGGGAGCGAACAGGAUUAGAUACCCUGGUAGUCCACGCC
rnacentral:rRNA from 1 species